AUCGAAAAUACAAAUUUACGAAAUCCUUGAAAUUAUAGAUUUCAAAUCUCAUUUUUUCCAAAAUUAAAAAAAAAAUGAAAUCUAGAAUAAAAAAUUAAGAAUUAAGGAAUUUUUAAAAUUGCGAAAUUUACAAUUACAAAUCAACUACACUGAAAGAAACCAACAUAGCAAUCUCAAGUGUUAUUUCACGUGAGAGUCUCAAAAAAUCAACACAAUAAAUUCACGUGCUUUUACUUUGACCCACACAUGUUUUAAAUGUCAAAUAGAAGUGAAUAUAAUUUAAAACCAGCUGAUCAUUAUCCAAAGACGUUUCACUCUUUUCUCGAAUGCUGUUCACUGCAUAUUCAAAUGAAUUUCACUUAGAUUUGCCCCAUUUGACAUUUCCUUUGAUUUCGAAGUGGAAAGCACGUUGGAUUGAAAUGUUUUGGUUUUGAAAAGCGUGUGGAGAAAAUUCUCCAUUAGUAAGAUGGCCACGGACGAUGCUGGUGCAAAAUUUGCGUUUCGGAUCGAAAUAAAAAAUUUGCCAGCAAAUUUCCUAAACAUUUUAUGUUUGUGCACUUAAGCAAAUCAGAAUCCGGUCAGAGGUCGUCAGAGGAAUCUGCUCAGAUCCGGAGCUUAGCACAAAACAAAAGAGCAAGCGAUGUUUUUUCGAGAAUCACCAUGGACAUCAAGGGCGGGCUACGGAUACGCCAGCUGCCGGAUCGAGAAGUGUUUAAUAGUCUUGGUCACUUUUAUUCGGCCAGCUUGAUCCCGUUCUUGUACGAGGUUGACCGUGACGUUACACCGGCCCAGCAGGGCGUAAUUGUCGAGCACCUCGCAGGUUAUGUAUGGCACAGAUCAGCAUCACGCCGUCGGGACCUGGCCCGCAUUCUUCAAAGCAGCAGUGAAAGUUUAUUGUCAGUGAAAUGUGUGAUUUUAUGCAAUGAAUCCAAAAGAUGUUUUGAAUCAGAAAAAUAAAAUUUAUUUAUUUAUGAAA